GCGAUAGCGCGGUGGUCCCACCUGACCCCAUGCCGAACUCAGAAGUGAAACGCCGUAGCGCCGAUGGUAGUGUGGGGUUUCCCCAUGUGAGAGUAGGGAACUGCCAGGC
rnacentral:rRNA from 2 species